rnacentral:rRNA from 1 species
CUUGACAACAUAAAAGGUCCAGCCUGCCCAGUGACUCAAUUCAACGGCCGCGGUAUCCUAACCGUGCAAAGGUAGCGUAAUCACUUGUCUUCUAAAUAAAGACUAGUAUGAAUGGCACCACGAGAACUAAACUGUCUCCUUUUUCUAAUCAGUGAACCUAAUCUCCCUGUGAAAAAGCAGGAAUUUAAUAAUAAGACGAGAAGACCCUAUGGAGCUUUAAACACAUAACACUGCCCUUUUACACCACAAUGUUACAUGCACAAUGAUUAAAAGUUUUUAGUUGGGGUGACUACGGAGUAAACCCACCCUCCGCGAUGAAUCUUAAACAAGCAACAGCUUUAUACAUCAGCAAACUGACACCAUUGACCCAAUUUAUUGAUCAACGAAC